UUUAGUGGGUAGCCUAAUUCAAAUUAAGUUUGCAAUCAUUUGGAACGGAGGAACCAUGUUAUGGGGCGCAUCUUGCAGAGAGUAGCUAACCUAGAGUAAACAGUCAAGAGUAACCAAGUAUUAAACUCAGCACUCAUUACUCAUUACUCCGCACUCUUAAAGAGAGACACCUUCCAGUCUUAGCCCGUCAGCUAACUCCGUCGGCAAUGGAAGGAACC
rnacentral:sRNA from 2 species